GACAGGAGCGGCCGGGCCCCGUGAAGGUGGCUCCCGUGCCUCUCCUAUCACUCCACACCCCCAUCCCCGAGCUGCUCCGGUCCCACUGCCCCUCUCCGGGGCCGGCCCGACCGCCCCAGCGCCGCUUUCCCAUAGACUUUGUACCAGCGGCCAAAAUUCCCCUGGGUAAAACCCGGCAAAACCUGCCACGAGCUCCGCUGCCCGACGAGGGAGGGAGGGCACUUUUUCCCUCUCCGCUCCCCAUUUCCCCACGAGACACCCAUCCCCGGUGGAUGUCCCCGCGUUCCCCACCCAGGGUCCCCUCGGGGCCGCCCCGCACUGCCCCAGCUGCCCAAGAGAUGGCGCCGCCGCCUCGCUGGACCCCCCCGGCGCCGAGCCCCCACCCCCCCAGCGCCGGGUCGCCUGCAUCAGCCAUAAAACCAUUGAGGAUAUCAAGACAGGCGCCAGGACCCAGAGGCAGCAGGCCGAGGAGCAGGCAGAGCAUAAAACAGGAUCCGGGCUGGAAGUACAUCCUUAUAAUAUUUAUUACUGGCGGAGGAUGAAUCACUUUCCAAUAUACGGGCCACUAACUGUUGAAGGGGGGGAAAUCUCUUUAACGAGGAGGAAUAUAUAUGUUGUGCUUAGGGAUGUGCUCACGGGCUGGCAGCGCUGCAGGCAGGGGCUGCCAGCUCCUUGCUCUGCUCCCGGUGACCGCCCAGCCCACGUCUGCCCCCAGCACCACGCCGCUCCACAGCUUAUUCUCAGCGUCUCCUCAGCCCCACAGCACAAAGGGGGGAACCCUACGAGGACCCCCUCCAGCCCCCCGGCCGGGUGCUGACUGGAAGGAUCCAUCCCGUGCCCGGACAGCGCCAUAACCUCAGCGGUUCGGGAACUCUUUACCUGGAAACUUUUGAGGGGAGGAUUCUGCAUUAAAUUUUAACCGAUCUAUUCUCCGA